UACGGGGGGGGUAAGCGUUGUUCGGAAUUACUGGGCGUAAAGGGCUCGUAGGCGGCCAACUAAGUCGGACGUGAAAUCCCUCAGCUUAACUGGGGAACUGCGUCCGAUACUGGAUGGCUUGGAUUUGGGAGAGGGAUGCGGAAUUCCAGGUGUAGCGGUGAAAUGCGUAGAUAUCUGGAGGAACACCGGUGGCGAAGUCGGGUCUCUGGGCAUCUCCUGACGCUGAGGCGCGAAAGCGUGGGGAGCAAACGGG
rnacentral:rRNA from 1 species